rnacentral:rRNA from 1 species
CCUACGGGAGGCAGCAGUAAGGAAUAUUGGUCAAUGGACGAAAGUCUGAACCAGCCAUGCCGCGUGAAGGAUGACGGCCCUCUGGGUUGUAAACUUCUUUUAUCUGGGACGAAAAAAAGGGAAUUCUUUCUCACUUGACGGUACCAGAGGAAUAAGCACCGGCUAACUCCGUGCCAGCAGCCGCGGUAAUACGGAGGGUGCAAGCGUUAUCCGGAUUCACUGGGUUUAAAGGGAGCGUAGGUGGGCAGGUAAGUCAGUGGUGAAAUCUCCGGGCUUAACCCGGAAACUGCCAUUGAUACUAUUUGUCUUGAAUUAUCUGGAGGUAAGCGGAAUAUGUCAUGUAGCGGUGAAAUGCUUAGAUAUGACAUAGAACACCCAUUGCGAAGGCAGCUUACUACGGAUAUAUUGACACUGAGGCUCGAAAGCGUGGGGAGUCAAACAGGAUUAGAUACCCUGGUAGUCCACGCCCUAAACGAUGGAUACUCGACAUCAGCGAUACACUGUUGGUGUCUGAGCGAAAGCAUUAAGUAUCCCACCUGGAAGUACGACCGCAGGUUGAAACUCAAAGAGUAGUAGCGUCGAGUGCCGUAGCCGAGACGACGGGAGAGGGAG